rfam:Proteus penneri ATCC 35198 genomic scaffold Scfld3, whole genome shotgun sequence.
CGCGGGAUGGAGCAGCAUGGUAGCUCGUCGGGCUCAUAACCCGAAGGUCGUUGGUUCAAAUCCAGCUCCCGCAA